GCGGGGCGGGGGCGGCCGCGCACGGAGGGGGCUCCGCGGCCCCGCUUGGCCGCCGCUGCCUUUUCCUCGCUCCGCGGCCCCUCCCGGCUCCUGUCCCCUCUGAGCCCGGCCUGUCCCUACUGCCCGUCCCUGGAGGGAGAUGCAGGGAAGGCGCGGAAAUACCUUGUGGGGUCCGCACAAGGUCACACCGCCCCUCCAACGUGUAUUGGUCCCCUCUUGUCCUUUACCCUGCACUGUUUUCCCGAGAGAAGUGCCCUAAUUCCAUGGCAGCUUACUGUCCGUUUAGGGAAAAACUCGGUGGGUGUCUGGUUGGGCUCUUGGAUUCAGUGUUUUGGUUUGUUAGAGUAAAGUGAUGGGAAUUAGUGGGUCCCCUUGGUGUUGCAACUAUCCAGCCAUCUUCUAAUAGCGACUAAGAAGGGACAGAGGCUGUUGUACCAAGCUUUUAGUUUCAUUGACACUUACCUUGAAAUUUGAUACUUACUUUGAGGUCUUUGUCAUCUUCCUGUUCGCUUUUCUUUGUCAGCGAUGAUAAUAAGUUGUUACAUCUUUUUGCUAUAAUAACACCCAUUGUAGUCAUACUUGGGCAGAGAGGGAACGUGCAGCAGAAGGCAGGAACCAGCUGAUUUUCACUCCCAUGCCCUCUGAGUGUGAGACUGGGAGCGCAGUGAUAGCAGAAAGGUUAUGAAGUGUGUUAGUGAUUUCUCAUUUGGGCAGAGUAGAAUCUGCUAGUUUGCGUGUUCACAAGACUGAGUUUAUCUACCACUUCUCUUUACUUAGUGUGGUGGCAAAUAAAAUUGAUGGUGUUCAUAGAAACAAUUGCUAAUAGUUUAUUUGUGCCUUGGGCUGUGGUGUGAUAAUACAACUAAACAGUAUAACCUUAAGGUUUUUAUCAGAGAAACCACUCUGCUAGGCAAAAAUUAUAAACCAUAAAAUAUAUAAAACUUUCUCUGUAAUGAACAUUUGGGAAACAAUUCUUUCUGGAUUGUUUGUGCACAGGAGCAAGAGGUAGUGGGAAGUGUCUUUCAAGUAAAUUGGUUUUGAAGGUUAAAAGUAAAUGACAGUGCAAAUGUAUAUAUUCGUGUCUGUAUAUGUGGGAAAAACACUGCACAGUGAAAAGUGGGUAUAACAAUGAAAAUAGAAACACAGAAGCAGAGAUUUCUAAGAGAUUCCCAAGUAAAGAUAAGGAUGGUAUUUGAACACUGAAGAGUGAAUGAAGAGAUGUUGUUAGAAGCAGACAAAAGCACUUGUGUUGGUAGGGCUGCCAGUGCGUAAUGGCCAGGGAGCUGCGUCAGUGAGCUGACUGUGCUUGUGUCUUGUCUGAAUAUCACCACACUGGUGGCCUGCUGAAACAGCUCAGGUUUGCUGUCUGUGCCAGCUCUUCAGGGCAUUCUUCCGUGCUAUGUAUAUUUCUUUGAGUUUAUAUUGCAAUUAAUAUACAUUGCAAUACCUUGGCAAUCUAGGGAGAACUUCUGUGAUACGUGCCAGUACUGGACUUCUUCCAUGAUGGAAACAACAUGGGGUCUUUUCCUUGACUGAAAGAGGCAGGAAUAAUACCUUGCACUGUGGACCUCUUUUAUCUAUCAUUAGUCAAUCACUCAGAUAAUGAUAAUUACAUUUCACAGGACAUUUUUUUAAUAUUUGAAAAUACCAGUUUGAGGUAUAUUGGUUAGAAAUUAAGUCAGGAUCUCCGAAUACACAUAGCAAAUGAACAUCAAGUAAAGGAAAUGUUUAAGUAAUGCAAAACUUUCUAGGCAUAAUUUACUAGUUAUUUAAUGUUCCUCAGCUCAUGUCCAUUUUAUUUACUCGUGGUUUGUUAAGUCGUGUGUAGUUUAUGUGUUUCAUAAGGACCUACUGGCAAAUGCUACUUGUAAAUUAAAGGAAAAGAUUUUUUGAUUAAAAAAAAUAAAGUAGUUUGACAGAUUAAUCCUUAAGAGCUGAAAUAAUAUCAAAGUCACAAAGUUUGAAUCUAUUUCCCAAUGAAACAACUUUUGUGUGUGUUUCUAACUACAAAAUAAGUAGCAAUGAUAAGAAAAUUCGGGUUGUCUCAGUAGGUUUCUGCUUUAUGGUUUCUUUUUGCUGGUUUUACUAAGAUUUUUUUUUUUAAUUUUUCAUUCAUAUUUUACAAUAAGCUAACUUGUCUUUUGAUCACAGAAUAAAGGAAAGUGAUGGUAUGGCACAAGUUAAGAGUCUGUCUUCCAGAAAUCUUUUCAGAGAAUUUUGGCAAGCAGUAAAUAAAGGGGUAAUCAUGACUAACCUGGAAAAAAGAUUCCUGUAUGCUUUUAUAAUGGUGAAAACAUUUCAGCUACUGAGAGGAUGCUCACACAAGGGGAGAAGGAAGUGCUAACCUGAGAGUAAAGAAAAAUAGCAUAAAAUGUAUGAGAGGCUUAUAUAGAGUGAAUGAUUGACUGGUCACUUGGAAAAAUUGUUUGUUCUGGUCACUAGAAAUGUUCUUCCACUAUGCACAUACAUCCCCCAGCUUCCCAUUCCCUCAUCCUGGAUGCCAAUAAAAUUAGGUUGUUUCUGUCUCAGCGGGAAAGAGAGGAGAGAAGAAGUGAUUGUCAGUCCCACUGAGUUAAGUGGAGGAGGAGCAGAGGAAUAAACAUAAAGCUGUGCUAGUUCAGGCAUGCCACAGAGGGGAGAGGUAACACAGGCACAGCUCUUGGCACACAGGAGCAGGGGAUUUGUGGAGGAAGACACACCUAGGACUGCACCCUGUUUCUUUGGAAGGUAGAGCUGAAAGUGAACCACAAGCCAGAUGAGCCCCUCUGGUGUGUCACUUCAUUGGCUUCAGAUUGGAUUCACUUAAGGAAUAAAACCAAAAUCAUGUUGCAAAACCAACUUGGGAUAUGAUUGGGGGUUUUUUUGGUUAGGUAAUAUACAUACUGUAGUUUGCAUGGCAGUAUUGCUUUUUUACAGCCUGGUAAUCAACUUUUAUGUGAUUUGGACUCUAAGCUCCUAUAAAGUCAUACAACAAAAGUUAUGCCAUUUUAAACUGAUUAUUUUAAAUCUUAGAACCGAAAUGGAAAUGUACUGUUCUAGUGCUUUAAUGAAGAGCUUGUCAAUUUAGUAUGUAAAAGUGCACCUGUGAAAUACUUGUUUCUUAAAAGUAAAUUUGUCAGCAGUUGUAAUGAACAAGUCAGCCCAUCGUUUUCAUCAACAGGUAAUAAUAGUUCAUAGCUUUCAUAAAUCAGUGCUAAUUGAACUGAUGAAACUUCAGUAUGAAAGUUCUCCUUGAAAAAAAAAAAAAGCAUUUAAUUAAAUUAAUUCUUCCUAAACAUUGUUCAGUUUAAAUCCAGUUUAAAAAGAUUAAUCUAAAGCAUCAUUCACAUCUCUAAAAUGAUGUGCAAGCUGGCUGUUUGAGUAGACUGGAGUCUUUUAAUGCUAAAUAUGUACCUGUAUUGUGGCAGCCUAUUUAAUGUUGAACACCAUAUUUAUUUGUGUGCUAGCAACUACUGAGAAUUAGAGUUUUCUUGGAAUAUAAGAAAUAUAAACAGUGAAGAAGCUCGGUUGAAACUUUAAUUCUGGGUUUAUAUCACUUCAAUUUCUCUAUGUUGCAAGGAAGUUUAACAAGUCUGUUAUUUUCACAAGUUUCUCUUGUUAGAUACAAACUGCUGAUUGCUACAUUUAAAAACCCUUCUAAACACACCUUCUGUCUCUGUGUGUCAUUCAUUUCCAGGAUGCUCUGAACAACAAA